AGUCCGCCUCUGCACCCGCCGCUCUGUUCGCCCUCCUCCCUUGUCUUCCGCUUCCUCUCUCUGGCUGUGGCUCGACCUAUUCUCUCAAUGCGUAUGUGUGCGCUGCGCGCGUGCGUGCCGUGGGAUGUGUGGCAUUCUGGUGUAGUCUUUUGCUCUCCGCCUCGUCGUUUUUUUUUCGUUUUGUUUUCUGCCGUGACCUCUAUGCGUGCGCGCGCGUGCGUGUGGGCCGGUGUACGUGCAUCUCUCUUUUCGUGUGCGUUGCGCUGCUUAAUCUCGGCUUACCUCUCCUGUGUGUGCCUGUGUGUUGGUUUGAGGCCUUCGUUGCGCCAACAAACGGACGACAGAAAAUGCCGAGGGGAUGAGAGGUGGCGAGCAUGACGGGCGUAAGGGAGAGAAAGAGGGGAGGCCAAGAAGAGAUGUGGCAGAAGGAAGCUGUCUGCUGGUGUCUCGGCCGACUCAUUUUAUUCGGAAAGGAGGCGCAAAGGUAGGGUGAAAGCAAGCAAGGGCGAAGCAUUCAGCUUCUAUCUCUCCACCAUUCUUUUCCCUCGACAGAUGCACACUCGUACGCGGUCUCUGAAGCACUCACAAGAGCAGCACGCACACACGCACCUCUCUACCGUCAAACGCACAGGCACGCGCAUGCACCUCUUUGCAUUCACAAGAAACGAAGCGAAAAACAAACGGUGAACAUGUUUUGAUGAAAUCCCGACAGAAAACG
rnacentral:misc_RNA from 1 species